GAUACUAUGUAUGUGCUUUCAUCAGUAACACAAAAGGCUACAGGAGACACCCUGAAUUGUGGAAAGAAGAAAAAGGACUAAAAAGGGAUGUCUACAGGGAUGAUGACCUCUUAGAGAUUGUUGGUGACCUUUGCAACUUUAUAAUGGACCAUGUUGUUUAUUACAAAGGUGAUUACCAUAACCCACAGUCCGACUUAGGUAGCAAUCCUCUUUACCAGCACCUCCGUCAGUGGAUAGGCUAUGUCUAGGUCGUUGAUUACAUGUGAACUUGUUGGAAUGGACUGUGAUCGAUUUGUAUUAGUACCUGAAAAAUUUCGGACUCUUUUGGAUGGAUUUGGACAUGGAAACAUUUUGGACUUGAAAUGUGGUGCUGUGUAUAUGUAUGGAUAUUUAUGUUGUGAAUCUGUGAUGUUGAGAAUCUGAUUAUAUAUGUAUAUAUGUAUGUGGUGUUGUGCUGUGCUGUCAACUCGAUUAUUGUAAUUUUUAUUUUUU